GAGGUGAGACCGGAUGGCACAAAGGCAUACUCUGAAUACCAAAAUCAGAUAUUCUGAACCAAGCAUCAGGAACAUGUCAGAAGGAAAAUAUUGUGUCACUCCAGAAUUGCUCACACAUAGAUGAAGUGAUAUCUGCUGAAGAAAAAAGGUAUAAAUAACAAAUCCAUCAUUAUAGUACCAAAACACUGACUUAGAUUUAUUUCUAUUCUGCUAUAUUGCAUUGAAUUGCAGCUUUAUAUUAUUGUUCCUUAUAGCUAAUCAAGACUGGAAAAUUCAGAUACAUAUUCUCUUAUAUUUCAGAUAUGCCUAUAUAAUUUCUGUCUAUUUAUUCUCUAAUUACAAUUCCAAGCUACUCAUACAGAUUUACUUAUAUUUUAUUUUUUCACAUCUAAUUUGUAUUUCGUAUUUUCAUCUGCUUUCCACAGCAACAAAAAAAAUAAAGCCGUGAAUACUAUGCAUACAAAUUCCAAAUAAGGGACCGUGAUAGAUCACAUAUGUUACACAUAGGGAGAUUGCUGCAGCAAUAUUUAGUGGAAACAUAUAUUAAACUAGAGACAUCACGAUUGAAUUUCACAAACAUAGGCAGCAACACUUGAGAACUGAAGUUUAUAAAGGACUGAUAGAUACUGUGAUUGGUGGUGAAACUUCUGCAUCAAACAUUGGAAAGCGAAUUAUUCUUCCAGCAAGUUUUAUAGGAGGUUCGAGAGAUAUGCGUCGAAGAUACAUGGAUGCUAUGUCACUUGUUCAACGGUAUGGAAAACCUGAUAUCUUCCUUACAAUGACGUGCAAUCCAUCUUGGCCAGAGACAUCACGAUUGAAUUUCACAAACAUAGGCAGCAACACUUGAGAACUGAAGUUUAUAAAGGACUGAUAGAUACUGUGAUUGGUGGUGAAACUUCUGCAUCAAACAUUGGAAAGCGAAUUAUUCUUCCAGCAAGUUUUAUAGGAGGUUCGAGAGAUAUGCGUCGAAGAUACAUGGAUGCUAUGUCACUUGUUCAACGGUAUGGAAAACCUGAUAUCUUCCUUACAAUGACGUGCAAUCCAUCUUGGCCAGAGAUUAAAAAACAUUUAGCAGAUGAAGAUGAAAUCCAAAAUAGACCAG
rnacentral:lncRNA from 1 species